rnacentral:tRNA from 1 species
GGGCGUGUAGUUCAGUGGUAGAACGCUGUCCUGAUAAGACAGAGGCCGUAGGUCCAAUUCCUACCACGCCCA